rnacentral:rRNA from 1 species
AACGAACGCUGGCGGCAGGCUUAACACAUGCAAGUCGAGCGCCCCGCAAGGGGAGCGGCAGACGGGUGAGUAACACGUGGGAUCUGCCCAAUGGUACGGAAUAGCUCCGGGAAACUGGAAAUAAUACCGUAUGUGCCCGCAAGGGGAAAGAUUUAUCGCCAUUGGAUGAACCCGCGUCGGAUUAGCUAGUUGGUGUGGUAAAGGCGCACCAAGGCGACGAUCCGUAGCUGGUCUGAGAGGAUGAUCAGCCACACUGGGACUGAGACACGGCCCAGACUCCUACGGGAGGCAGCAGUGGGGAAUAUUGGACAAUGGGCGCAAGCCUGAUCCAGCCAUGCCGCGUGAGUGAUGAAGGCCUUAGGGUUGUAAAGCUCUUUCGCCGACGAAGAUAAUGACGGUAGUCGGAGAAGAAGCCCCGGCUAACUUCGUGCCAGCCGCCGCGGUAAAAC